rnacentral:rRNA from 1 species
GGUACGGGGCCCGGCCGACAAGACGGUGGAGGCAUGUGGUUUAAUUCGAAGCAACGCGAAGAACCUUACCAGGUCUUGACAUCCCUGACAACCCGAGAGAUCGGGCGUUCCCCUUCGGGGGACAGGGUGACAGGUGGUGCAUGGUUGUCGUCAGCUCGUGUCGUGAGAUGUUGGGUUAAGUCCCGCAACGAGCGCAACCCUCGACCUUAGUUGCCAGCAUUCAGUUGGGCACUCUAAGGUGACUGCCGGCUAAAAGUCGGAGGAAGGUGGGGAUGACGUCAAAUCAUCAUGCCCCUUAUGACCUGGGCUACACACGUGCUACAAUGGGCGGUACAAAGGGUCGCGAACCCGCGAGGGGGAGCCAAUCCCAAAAAGCCGCUCUCAGUUCGGAUUGCAGGCUGCAACUCGCCUGCAUGAAGCCGGAAUCGCUAGUAAUCGCGGAUCAGCAUGCCGCGGUCGAAUACGUUCCCGGGCCUU